CGUGAUGGACCUUAUAUGCCUACUUUACGUCUUCUGCAUCAAUAUCCAAAUAUAAUGAAAAAACUACAAGUUGACAGGGGCGCAAUUAAAUUUGUCCUCUCUGGAGCCAACAUAAUGUGUCCAGGUCUUACUUCUCCUGGGGGUGCUUUGGAUGUUGAAGUGGGGGCAGAAACUCCCGUGGCUAUUAUGGCUGAAGGGAAGCAACAUGCUCUAGCUAUUGGCUUUACAAAGAUGUCGGCAAAGGAUAUAAAGGCAAUCAACAAAG
rnacentral:misc_RNA from 1 species